rnacentral:lncRNA from 1 species
AUUUAAAACAAAUCUUUAUAAUUUUAAAAGUUAACAUCGAUAAUUUAAAUAAUUAAUAAGAAGGUAAAAUGGUGUGUGUGUGUGUUUUUACUGUUAGAGAACUAUUUUUAAAAAGAAUAUUUUGGUUAAUAUUACACAAAAUAUGAAAAAUAUUAACUAUAUCUUAAUAGCAAACUGAAUUUCAUAUUAUAUUCAAACAUAGGCAUAUUUCAAAUUUUUUUGAGAAAUUGACACAAAUACCACAUUCAUAGUACCACUUUUC